rnacentral:lncRNA from 1 species
CAAUAGAAUCAAGGCACAAAAAUCCUUGAAACGCAUAAUUGAAAACUCAAAAAUGAGCUUGGGUAAUUACAAAGAGCAUUUGGCCAACAUUUUCAUCCUCAGCAGGGGAUUCAGGAAGCUGAAUGUAACUUCGGAUUGAUGGAUUAUCAGUUACAAAUCCGAACGUAUUGAACGCCGGCUUAUCAUCUCCUUCUUCGGAAACCCUGGCAACAAUACUGAUUGUUGUUCUAAAUCUUUUGCUCGCGAGGAAUCUAGUGGUGGUUAAGUGUGAUGAUGAAGCUGAGGAAAAGGUGCGGAGAUUGCGAGGAGCCGGAGUGGGAGGUGAAGUGAGGAGAGAGAGAGAGAGAGAGAGAGAGAGGCAUUGCGGUGGUUCUGGCGGUUAAUCAUUUAAUUCUCUUUUAU